AGACGACCCCCGCACCGAGGAGCAACAACACAUGUGCCUCAGACAGUCAGUUCUAUGGCGGUGGCAAUUGCAUCCCGAAGCGACGCAUGUGUGCCGGCAUCAAUGACUGCAGUAACGGAGAGGAUGAGUUUGUGCAGCUGUGUGACAUUGACGAGUGCCGGGAGAAGAAUGGCGGGUGUGAGCACCUGUGCGGCAACACUCAAGAGUCAUACUACUGCCAGUGCCGGCCGGGAUAUAGACUUGUCAGGAAAUCAGCUGUGAAGGAAAGUCAAGCCAAGAGUCCCUGAAUGCUGCUAAGGAGACAUACUGCUGCCAGGAACACUGCACCACCAAGCCAAGCCAAGCCACAACACAAACCAUCUACAACACAUGGAGCGAUGAACAACAUCCAAAGUAACACACAACACCUGAAGCCAUGAAGAACAUCCAAAGUAACACACAAGACAUGGAGCGAUGAAGAAAAGUUUGGUUAGGUUAGGCAGUUUGGCAUGUUUUUUUUGAGGGCAUCAAAGUUUGAGGAUAUGAGCCAAUGUCUUGUGAUGGAGUGAAUGUAUUGGAUUUUGUCAUCUUUGAAGAUUUCCUAUGAAUGCUGAAUUGUGUGUGUGUGUGUGUGUGUGUGUGUGUGUGUGUGUGUGUGUGUGU